rnacentral:rRNA from 1 species
GAUGAACGCUGGCGGCGUGCCUAAUACAUGCAAGUCGAGCGAACAGACGAGGAGCUUGCUCCUCUGACGUUAGCGGCGGACGGGUGAGUAACACGUGGAUAACCUACCUAUAAGACUGGGAUAACUUCGGGAAACCGGAGCUAAUACCGGAUAAUAUAUUGAACCGCAUGGUUCAAUAGUGAAAGACGGUUUUGCUGUCACUUAUAGAUGGAUCCGCGCCGCAUUAGCUAGUUGGUAAGGUAACGGCUUACCAAGGCAACGAUGCGUAGCCGACCUGAGAGGGUGAACCGGCCACCCGGAAACGAGAAAACGUCCCAGCAUCCACGGGGAGACGCCAGAGGGAAACUUUCCGCAUGGGAGAAAGCCUUAAGGGGCAAAGACGGCGGAAUGAAGAAGGUCCUAGGGACGUUAAACCAUGUUAAUAAGGAAGAAACAAAGUGUAAGUAAACAUUGACGGUUUGACGGUACCUAAUCAGAAAGCCACGGCUAACUACGUG